UGCUCACCUGUGAAAAGAAGAGAAGAUAUGGCUGGAGGUGGAGGAACUGACAGCAUGGUAGAUGGCCUGCAGGAGAAGAGGUCCUCUGGACCUGAAGGCAGAGCCUUGCACAGCAGUUUGGAUCUACCACUGAUUGGCAUGUGGCUUUAUUUUAGAUCAGUUAUUCAGCCUCUGUAUACCUUAUCUGUAUUCCUUUUACUCCAAACACCCAAGAUCAAAACUCCAAAGGUAAGCUCCUAGGAGGCCCAUAACCAAUUAACAAAUGGGACCACAGUGAAGACUCAUAUUUCCAUUUCCUCUCUCUAGCUCAGUUCUGGGGGGUCAUGCAAGCCAAGGAAGACAUUAUGGCAUCAAGAUGGAAUCCAGCCCUACCUUGAUCUCCUAUCUGUCCGUUUAUGAUUAGGAUACCUUUACAUGCAUGAAAGAAUAUGUGAGGUUCCCUGGGAGUGAGCAUCUGGGAAUAAAAUUGCUCUUCAAGACCCAAGAAGCAUUUGACCCAGACCUGCAAAAGCUGGUGGGAACCCCAGGACAAGGGACCCCUAAGGCUGACUUGAUUACUGCUUCCUUGACAAGGUGGUCCUUAAUGGAGGAGGGCUGUGGAGCCCCUGAGAAGGGAAGAAGGGACCUCAAAAGAAAAUCAAGACCCCAGAACAAAGCACCAGGGGAAAGAAAAGCCUACAAGUCUUGUUUAAUCUUCUUUUGAGUGUGGAAAGAGCUUUUUCACAGAGGAUAUGAACUCUUUCUACUUUGCCUGGGGCCUGAGCUACAGUGUGUGCCAUGCAGGUGAGCCAUUAGGAGGACUCUGGCAAGAAAAGAGCCCGAUGAUCUUUUAAUGUUCCUCCCAGCUCCAAGAUUCCAAGACUUUGUGAAAAUUUAAAAAGAAAUAGAACAUGCCACAUGAAUUACCUUAUUAUUUUAUUGUUUUUAAGAAGGCUUACAGCAAGGUACUUGAUAAAGUAGAAAAGAGCUUGGGAGUUACACAGAACUGGGCGGGAACUUUAGUCCUGGAACUAACUGGCUAAGUGAGAUCAGGUAGGUUACCCCACGUAGGCUGCCCCACAGCUGGUCAGGGGUGAGUUUCUCUGCACCCUACAUUCUCUGCUUUUAAGUUGGGGCUAACAUCACCCACUUUGAAGUAUUAUUAUAAGAGAGAUAAUAUUCAAAAGUGUGAUGCCAGCAUUCCACAGGGUAGUCAGUAAAGUGCCAGCUCUUUCCUCUCACCACCAUAACUAUUUGUAACUGCAAGAAUGUACGCAUAAAAACAGCUAAGGUUUUGUUCUUGUUUGAAAGCAUAUGGUGCAAUUUGUUUUUCUGCUGAUACGAAGAGAAGAAUACCAGGAGCACGAAGGUUAACUGAUGCCAAAGUCUUGUACGAAAUCCAUGAUCCGAUAAUUUCUUAUAUUGUUAAGAAAAUGGUGAGAACAUUUUCAUGAACUAUAAGAAAAAAACGCAAUUGAAUUCCAGGAAAACAUUCUCUCUUUUCAUUUUUAUAAGUUGUUGUUUCUUUUAUGUGAUAGGAAGGGAACAAUUUGUAUCAUAAGAAAAUAAAGAUGUGGAAAUGCA